rnacentral:tRNA from 1 species
UGUAGCGCAGCUUGGCUAGCGCGCUUGAAUGGGGUUCAAGAGGUCGUGGGUUCAAAUCCCGCCA